CCAAAAUUGAUCGCUGAAUUUUUCUGUCGGGUGAGGAGCGCUGUCCUACUUUCUCAAGAGCUAAAACCUCACCUAUACCCCUCUCUCUAGAUUUUACUUUUUUCUGAUACAGCUUGCUCUUUUCUUAGAAGAAGCUGAUUUUUGUUCCUUCUUUGUUCAGAUUUGUCACAACAUGGAUGAUAAUCUUUAUGAUGAGUUUGGAAACUACAUUGGUCCUGAAAUUGAGUCAGACCAAGAUAGUGUUGGAGAGGAAGAAGAUGAAGAACUUCCAGACAAACCCCAAGAAGAUGAGGCAGCAUCUGAUGAUGAGGAGGCAAUUGAUGCUUCCAAUGGAUGGCUCACUACCAGUAAUGAUGUUGAUAUGGAUAAUCAGGUUGUCCUUGCUGAGGACAAGAAGUAUUACCCAACUGCAGAAGAGGUUUAUGGUGAGGAUGUUGAAACAUUGGUUAUGGAUGAAGAUGAGCAGCCCCUUGAACAACCUAUAAUUAAACCGGUUAAGAACAUCAAGUUUGAGGUUGGGGUUAAGGACUCCUCAACCUAUGUAUCCAGCCAGUUUCUUGUUGGUCUGAUGUCAAACCCCUCUUUGGUUCGUAAUGUUGCCCUUGUGGGCCACCUACAACAUGGGAAGACAUUGUUCAUGGAUAUGUUGGUUGAGCAAACACAUCAUAUGCCUACUUUCGAUACAAAUAGUGAGAAGCAUAUGAGGUACACAGAUACAAGAAUUGAUGAGCAAGAAAGAAGGAUAUCCAUUAAGGCAGUUCCGAUGUCACUUGUUCUUGAAGAUAGCAAUUCUAAAUCAUACCUAUGUAACAUCAUGGACACCCCUGGUCAUGUCAACUUCUCUGAUGAAAUGACUGCUGCUCUAAGGCUUGCUGAUGGUGCUGUGUUAAUUGUGGAUGCAGCUGAAGGAGUGAUGGUAAGUAACUUUUUUGAGUAAAAAAUUUGAUAAAUUUACGCCACAGAUAACCUAACCUGAUUGUGCUUCAGUUUUGCCUAUACUUCUGCAGAUAAAUGAACUCAUUAUGCUUAUAUAUGAAUUUCCAUGAGGUAAGGGUACUUGUGUGGAGAUGAACUUUGAGAUGUUUUAGUUUAUGAUCAGGUUGAUUACAGUGUCAAGGCAAUAAAUUAGUUUGUUUAAUUCUUGAUAUGUUAUUUCAAUGAUAUUGUUGUGGUUUUAUGAAAUGUUUUCUUAGUAUGGUAAUUCUGGUAUUCUGAUUUCUGAAUGUGCAUGUAAAUACAGAGAUGGCCAUAUGUCAUGCAAUCCAGGAGCACCUGCCUAUUGUAGUUGUGAUCAAUAAGGUUGAUAGGCUGAUAGCAUAACUUAAGUUGCUUCCAAAGGAUGCUUACCAUAAGCUUGGGCAUACUAUAGAAGUCAUCAAUAACCAUAUAAAAGCCGUCUCUUCAACUGCUGGAAAUGUCCAAGUUCUAAAUCCUGGAAAUGUUUGUUUGCAAGUGCUACGGGAGGAUGGUCCUUUACUUUGCAAUCAUUUGCUAAACUGUAUCUCAAACUCCAUGGCAUCUGAUUUGAUGCUGACAAAUUUGCAACUCGUCUUGGGGAGAUGUUUAUUAUCAUCCAGAUAUGAUGGCUUUUAAGAAGAAACCCUCUGCAAGUGGAGGGGAAAUAUCAAUUGUCCAAUUUGUGUUGGAGCCCCCCUACAGUGAUUGGAGAACAUAAGAAGAGUAUUGGGGCUACUCUAGCCAAGCUUGGUGUCAUACUUCCCAAAGCAGCUUAUAAAUUAAAUUUUCAGUCUUUGCUAAGGCUGGGGUGUAGCAGUGUUUUUGGUUCAGCUUCAGGCUUCACUGAUAUGCUGGUUCAGCAUAUACCUUCUGCUAAGAAUGCUGCAGCUAAAAAGGUGGAUCAUAUAUAUCUAGGGCCCAAUGAUUCUAUGGCCCAAUGAUUCUAUGAUUUACAAGGCCAUGGUAAAUUGUAAUACUUCUGGCCCCUUAAUUGCUAACGUGACCAAACUAUAUCCCAAGUCUGAUAGCAGUUCCUUAUAGUGGUAAAAUUAUGACAGGGCAGUCUGUAAAAGUAUUGGGAGAGGGCUACUCACCUGAUGACAAGGAGGACGACUGAAAGAAGUGACCAAACUAUGGGUUUAUCAAGCUAGGUAUAGAUUACACAUAAGCAUGGCACCUCCUGGCUCAUGGGUUCUCAUCAAAGGCAUGGAUGCUUCAAUAAAGAAAACUGCAACUCUUUGUAAUGUGAUAAUUACAAAGAUGUUUACAUAUUCCAGCCUCUGCAGUUUAACACUCUUCCAGUGGUGAAAACAGCUACUGAGCCUCUAACUCCAAGUUAGUAGCCAAAAAUGAUGGAGGGCCUAUGGAAGAUCAGUAAAAGUUACCCUCUAGCUAUUACUAAAGUUGAAUAGUUUGGAAAGCACAAAAUUCUUGGUACUGGAGGGAUAUAUUUGGAUUCUGUGAUGAAGGACCUUAGGGAACUUUACUCUGAAGUAGAAGUCAAGGUAUGGAUUACUCAUAUCUCAUUGUUUUAUGUAUUUUUAGUUUAUUUCUUUCCUGCGUUUUUCCCCUCAUUCUCUCUGCCUAUGAUAUUCUAUUUUUUGGCUGUUUUUGCAUUGAUGGGUAUGAAUCCAUUUGUUCUAAUGCUUCAUUCAAAUUUAGGUAGCAGAUCCUGUUGUCUCAUUUUCUGAAAUUGUUGUAGAGUCCUCAUCAAUGAAAUGUUUCGAUGGAACACCCAACAAGAAGAAUAAAGUAACCAUGAUACAAACCCCAAUUGACUGUCUCUCUGCAAUAUAUAUAGUGUUAUCUCCCAGAUGUGGACAUGUUACAGCAGACAUUCCUCGGGCUGGUACUCCCGCUUAUAUUGUGAAGGUUUGAUGGCUCAGCUUUGCAUACAUCUACAGAUGAUCAUCAUAGAAAAUAUUUCCAUUAGUCAUUGCUUUAUGGACUACUGGGAGAAAAAUUGCUGAGGACUGUAUGCUAAAACACUUUAGAAGCAUAAGAGGGUGUUUGAGAAAUCACAAAGCUGGGCUAGCUGUGAAUAGUGAGCAGAUUUUUAAAACUUUUUGCUCUCGUUUGAUAAUUAUUUACAUGGUUCAAAAUAGUAGUUGUUUGCCCUGGAGUUGGGAUGGGAAAGUUGCACUUUUGGUUUGAGGAUUAAUCAGAACCAGACUGAAUUAGUUCUUUGCGUUUGUAAAAACUCUCAUGUAAAUAUUCUUUUCAAUGGGGAGUUGAUUUAAAUAUCCUGUAGCUCUUCUCUUGCUAUCAUUAAUUUUUCCCUCUUGUUGGUGCAAAUUCUUUGUGAUCAUUGGGUUAUUUUCUACCUUUUUUCCUAUUGCAUUUCAGGCAUUUUUACCUGUAAUAGUGUCAUUUUGAGAUGGACCUGAGAUAGCAUACCCAAAGGUAAGCAUUUUGCCUCUCAGUGUUGGAUCAUUGGGCUGUAGUCCGUGGAGACAAGAUCAUAGUUCUGCAACCACUUGAGCCAUCUGGCUCCAUGCUCGUGAACAUCCUCUCUCUUACUCUCUAUUGCUUUCUCCUUAUGUCUCUUUCUAUCAAUUAUAUAGUGAUAACAAAUAAGUAUUCAUUCUCUUAAAAAAUUUAGCAUGGAUGAUGCCUUACUAUUUUUCCUUGAGCUUCAUGUUAACAGCACUGAAAGAUUGAUGAAAAUCCACAGUUGGUAAUAUUUUUUAUUGGAAUUCUAUAUCCCAGGAAAUGAGUGAAGAUAUGAGUGCAAACAAGUUCUUUGAUGAGGCCAUGGUGGUGGAGCUGGCUCAGCAAGCAGCUGAUAUUCAUCAACAAAUGAUAUUAGGUUCCUAUAUGGUUGCUAAGGCCAUGGAAUGCAGCUUGCUUAAGGGUGUUGCAGGCAGUUUUAUCCUGAUUUCAUUCUAUCCAACCUAGAUGCGAAAUGGCCAGUGUAAAGAUGCCCAAUCUUGAGCUGCUAACAUAGAACACGGCUAACCUUAAAGAAGGAUGUGAAAGGACAAAAAUUUUGAAUUUUAUGUAGUUGUUUAUCAUCUGUUGUCUAAAUAUAUGCAUAUUACAGCAAAAUUUACAUGUGUUUUCAGUGGUAUUGACUCCCUGUAUGCAUAUAAGAGCCACUUUAACUCAAAAGGUGAAACCGUGUCUUUUUUUAUGCUUAUAGUUUCUAUUUUCUUUGCGAGUUUGUUCUUGAUUCAUGUUGUGG
rnacentral:misc_RNA from 1 species